AGUACCAUGAAGAAGAUAAAUCCUCGAUCUCCUCGAGGUCCUACAUGGAAAGCACCCAAGUGCGCACAACAGGAAAACGGAGUUGACUGUGGCCUAUACGUGAUGAGAUUCAUGUAUGACAUAGUGAUGAGUCAUUGUACAGACACACGUCAGCUUGAAGAGUUUUGCAAGGGGCAAACGGG